UAGGGAAUCUUCGGCAAUGGACGAAAGUCUGACCGAGCAACGCCGCGUGAGUGAAGAAGGUUUUCGGAUCGUAAAACUCUGUUGUUAGAGAAGAACAAGGACGUUAGUAACUGAACGUCCCCUGACGGUAUCUAACCAGAAAGCCACGGCUAACUACGUGCCAGCAGCCGCGGUAAUACGUAGGUGGCAAGCGUUGUCCGGAUUUAUUGGGCGUAAAGCGAGCGCAGGCGGUUUCUUAAGUCUGAUGUGAAAGCCCGCGGCUCAACCGGGGAGGGUCAUUGGAAACUGGGAGACAUGAGUGCAGAAGAGGAGAGUGGAAUUCCAGGUGUAGCGGUGAAAGGCGUAGAUAUAUGGAGGAACAGCAGUGGCGAAGGCGGAUCUCUGGUCUGUAACUGACGCUGAGGCUAGAAAGCGUGGGGAGAAAACAGG
rnacentral:rRNA from 1 species